CGGACGGGUGAGUAAUGUCUGGGAAACUGCCUGGUGGAGGGGGAUAACUACUGGAAACGGUAGCUAAUACCGCAUAACGUCGCAAGACCAAGAGGGGACCUUCGGGCCUCUUGCCAUCGGAUGUGCCCAGAUGGGAUUAGCUAGUAGGUGGGGUAACGGCUCACCUAGGCGACGAUCCCUAGCUGGUCUGAGAGGAUGACCAGCCACACUGGAACUGAGACACGGUCCAG
rnacentral:rRNA from 1 species